ACUCGGUCGCCUGCCACCUCUCCCAAGGCUUUCCCCGUUCCCCUGAUCCCCUCUCCCACGCCCCCUCUCGUCCCCAUCCUCUCCUCCCGCGCAUCGCCGCCGCACCAUGGCCUCCCCCGGCCCGAACCACCGCCGCCAGCCAAGGCCACCGUCCCCUGUCCACACCAAUUCCCCUCCCCUCCAUCCCAGACCUCUUCGCACCGUCUCUCUGUUCUCCCUGUUCACAGGCGGUUCGGCCGUCGCCAGAUCUGCGCCCAGGCCGGACGAACGACGGCCGGCCGACGCCCCCCGGCGCAGGAUCUUCGUAAAGAACCGGGAAGUGGAUUUCGUGAUGGAGACUGGUGCCAGGAAUAGAUGCAUACAUGAAAUCUAUAUAUAAAUACACGGAGAGUAGUGCCAGGGAUCAUGAGGAACCAAGAUGUUUUUCAGCUGAUAAUGUAUUAAGUGAUUUUCUUCAGAAGGACUUGUGGUCGGAGUUGUUUCAUCAUUACAAGAAAUUGGAAGUUAAACCACGUUUUUUAAAGAAUCUUUUCUAGAAGACAAGUACCCAGCAGAAUUCCCUUGCAAAUAUAGCUAUGGUCCAUUUCAGAAAAUAGAAGGUGUUGAAGUAUGCCUCUUUGGCAUGUAUGAUUUGGUGCAGAAUGUGCAGGACCCAAACCAACUUUAGGGUUAUCUGUCAUAUAUUGAUUCUGUCAGAUUCUCUAGACCUGGCGUAAAAAUAGUGUCCAGGGAGGCCUUGCAGACAUGUCUCUAUCAUGAAAUUCUGAUCAGUUAUCUUCAGUAUUGUAAGCAGCGGGUAUUCACUAGCUGUUACAUUUGGGCUUUCCCACCUUUGAAGGGUGAAAGAUUACUGCAGCUCGCUUGCCAUAUUUGAGGGAGAUUAUUUGCCAGGAGCUGCAGAAGAUACGAUCAACAAGCUUUUCCUCGAAGAUGAUAGAAAGUAAAGAAGACCAUCACAAAAAGAGCUUUGAGAGCUCAGUGAAUGUCAAUGAAGAAUGAAUAUCUGACAAAACACGGAUGGUCUGAAGAGGCAAGGACGCUAUGAACCAUGAUCUUGAUGGGAGGCUCAAGGAGUCCACAGGGGCGCUCUCUUUCUUGCCUUGGGCGUUCUUCCUGUUGUCUCGGCGCGCCCUCUUUGCAGCUCGAUUUGCUUUCUUCUGUGCCGCCUCCUGCUGGCGGUUCUUAUCCUCAAGAAGCUGCGCUGCCUUCUCGGCGGCAUGCACUCGGUCAUGGUUUUGAACCACCGAGAGGAUAAACAGUCCUUUCAGGUCAUGCUUCGAGCAAUUUAUAGGGUGUACCGCCAUCUGAACCUGUCAAUUCAAUUGUAGUGAUUAAUAUAAUAUAAAAAAUGAACAUGACAGUUUAUUUGGGUAUUGUGGUAUGAACAUAAUUUUUUUUCUGCCUCAGAUCUGUCUUAUGAUUCCUAGAUUGAACUGGGCAAGAACAAGAAGGUGGUGGUCCAUGAAGAUUGGACUCAAAGAAAUGUAGGUGACCAACAUGUAAUGGAGAGCCGUGGAGGGAGUUAAAAGUGAAGAAUUUGGGAGUUGCCCCAGGGAUGCAGAAAAACAGAGGAUGGCUUCUACUGGCGGCUGCUCAUUAAAAUUGCCACAAGUUUCUUUGAUGAAAGAGGAGGAUGGGAACUAAUGACAUGCAGAAUUGGAACUGGAAUUGUGAACUAAUGCUCGUUGGAGUAACUAAUCUGCUGAAUGUUGCCAGGCUGCAUUAUAUUUGGAUCUACUGUUUUGGUAGAUGUGAUUUCGUUGUGUGUUGCAUGCCACAUGUUGCUGGGGACUCAUGUUGGAUGACCCUGGGGUAUAGAUUUUUUGGCACAGGUGCCGCUGUUCA